rnacentral:rRNA from 1 species
CUGUUUAGUAAAUCCGUGGGUAAAUCAACGAGCUUAACUCGUUGACUUCUGCGGACACUGCUAGACUUGGGACCGGGAGAGGUGUGGGGUACUCAUGGGGUAGGGGUAAAAUCCUGUCAUCCCAUGAGGACCACCAGUUGCGAAGGCGCCACACUAGAACGGAUCCGACGGUCAGGGACGAAGCCUAGGGGCACGAACCGGAUUAGAUACCCGGGUAGUCCUAGGUGUAAACGCUGUGGACUUGGUGUCGGGGAUCCUCUAAGGGUUCUCGGUGCCGCAGCGAAGGUGUUAAGUCCACUGCCUGGGGAGUACGGUCGCAAGGCUGAAACUUAAAGGAAUUGGCGGGGGAGCACUGCAACGGGAGGAGCGUGCGGUUUAAUUGGAUUCAACGCCGGAAAACUCACCAGGGCCGACUGUCAAAUGAAGACCAGCGUAAUGAGCUUGUCGGAUUGUCAGAGAGGUGGUGCAUGGCCGCCGUCAGUUCGUACCGUAAGGCGUUCUGUUAAGUCAGAU